GUUGGGUUAAGUCCCGCAACGAGCGCAACCCUUGAUCUUAGUUGCCAGCAUUCAGUUGGGCACUCUAAGGUGACUGCCGGUGACAAACCGGAGGAAGGUGGGGAUGACGUCAAAUCAUCAUGCCCCUUAUGACCUGGGCUACACACGUGCUACAAUGGACAGAACAAAGGGCAGCGAAACCGCGAGGUUAAGCCAAUCCCACAAAUCUGUUCUCAGUUCGGAUCGCAGUCUGCAACUCGACUGCGUGAAGCUGGAAUCGCUAGUAAUCGCGGAUCAGCAUGCCGCGGUGAAGCGUUCCCGGGCCUUGUACACACCGCCCGUCACACCACGAGAGUUUGUAACACCCGAAGUCGGUGAGGUA
rnacentral:rRNA from 1 species